AUUGAACGCUGGCGGCAUGCUUUACACAUGCAAGUCGAACGGCAGCGCGGGCUUCGGCCUGGCUGCGAGUGGCGAACGGGUGAGUAAUGCAUCGGAACGUCCCCAGCUGCGGGGGAUAGCCCGGCGACAGCCGGAUUAAUACCGCAUACGACCUGACGGUGAAAGCGGGGGACCGAAAGGCCUUGCGCUCUUGGGCCGGUCGAUGUCGGAUUAGCUAGUUGGUGGGGUAAAGGCUUACCAAGGCGACGAUCCGUAGCUGGUCUGAGAGGACGACCAGCCACACUGGAACUGAGACACGGCCCAGACUCCUACGGGAGGCAGCAGUGGGGAAUUUUGGACAAUGGGGGCAACCCUGAUCCAGCCAUGCCGCGUGCGGGAAGAAGGCCUUCGGGUUGUAAACCGCUUUUGUUCGGGAAGAAAUGCUCUGGGCUAAUACCCCGGGGGGAUGACGGUACCGGAAGAAUAAGCACCGGCUAACUACGUG
rnacentral:rRNA from 1 species